GGAGGACAUGGCUUCUUAGGGGUCGGCGGUGGAAGCUCUACCUUCGGCGGUGGGUCGUGAACUGGUACAGGAGGUGGGUGCUCAAUCUUCGGAGGUUUAGGUGGACAAGGCUUCUUAGUAAUCGGCGGUGGAAGUUCCACCUUUGGUGGUGGCUCGUGAACGGGGACAGGGGGUGGAACCUCUUCCUUUGGCGGUGGCUCGUAGACCGGAACCGGAGGAGGAACCUCCUCGGGAGGGCUGUAUUUAGGUGGACAGGGUAUCUUGAAUUUAGGAAAAGGUGGAAGUACCAAAGGCGGAUGAUCAAAGCCCUUGAAAGGAGGUAACUUAGGCAUAGGCCAGAAGAACUUGGAAACGCAAAUUUCGGGUGAAAACUUGAGGUUUUGUUUGAGACCCAAAACGUGUUUAUCCACGGACUUGGAUAAAAACACAAUCUUGGUGGAUUCAAGGCCGUCGUGAGCUGGACAAGGGGUACCCUUAGCGCUGUGAAGCUGAGCGUAACACUCCUCCUUUAAAGUUCCGUCGUCGGAGACAAUGUCAUGAGGAAUAGUCAGGCCAAACUUUCCUUUAUCGUCAAUGUUUCCGGAACCUUUUGUAACAAAAUGGCCUUUAUUCACCUUACAGUCGAUCGUCACUCGUAGUCCUGUAUAGCAAAUGAUCUUAAUUAAUUAUCAUACACAUUUAAUUUGAUCAAACAUUAUAAAAGUUAGUAAUGAAUGUGGGUUAUAUAUUAUGAAGUUGCCUGAAAAUGCAUGGGGGCUUUUGAUCUUGCUCUCGGCGUAACCGACAACCUCGACGACACGAGCGAGUGAGAGAGUCGCUGAAGUGAAGAGAAUAGACACGAGAAGGAGGAGGCAGAAGGGAACCGAACCUCGAGGUUCGGGUAAGAUCCUCAUUGGGAUUAUCACCCUCUGAGAUCUCUGACACACUUGUCUUUCGCUUGCUGAAAAUACUAAGUUUAUUUAUAAAAGAAGAAAGAAACUAUAUGAUAUAUA
rnacentral:lncRNA from 1 species